GCCCGCUUAGCUCAGUGGUAGAGCGCGUCACUUGUAAGGAUCAUUGGAUUCUAGAGAUGAUGAGGUCGGUUGUUCAAUCCAGCCAGUGGGCA
rfam:Rhizopogon vinicolor AM-OR11-026 unplaced genomic scaffold K503scaffold_21, whole genome shotgun sequence.